rnacentral:rRNA from 1 species
UACAGAGGGGGCAAGCGUUGUUCGGAAUUACUGGGCGUAAAGGGCGCGUAGGCGGCCUUCUAAGUCGAACGUGAAAUCCCCGGGCUCAACCCGGGAACUGCGUCCGAUACUGGAAGGCUUGAAUCCGGGAGAGGGAUGCGGAAUUCCAGGUGUAGCGGUGAAAUGCGUAGAUAUCUGGAGGAAUACCGGUGGCGAAGGCGGCAUCCUGGACCGACAUUGACGCUGAGGAGCGAAAGCUAGGGGAGCAAACGGG